CGACCGGUUUGGCCUAGUGGGUAGUGACCCUGCCUACGAAGCUGAUGGUCCCGGGUUCAAAUCCUGGUAAGGGCAUGUAUUUGUGUGAUGAGCAUGGAUAUUUGUUCCUGAGUCAUGGGUGUUUUCUAUGUAUUUAAGUAUUUAUAAAUAUUUAUAUAUUAUAUAUAUCGUUGUCAAAGUACCCUCAACACAAGCCUUAUUGAGCUUACUGUGGGACUUAGUCAAUUUGUGUAAUAAUGUCCUAUAAUAAAAUAAAUAAAAAAAAUAUCUCAUGGGGACUUAAUAAUAAUUGAACUAUUCCAAGUAAAAAGCCAGCUAAACCAGCAGUCAGGAAACCGGGUCCGAAAACAAACAAAGGUAAUAAUUUGUUUAGUAUUGAUUUCAUUUCUUGUGACAUUAAUUUGCCUUGCCCUCCUCAGACCCAGGCCAUACAAAUGAAUAAAAUAAUAAUUAAUAGUUUAAAAAUCACUAGAAGAACACUCUUUUAUAAAUGUGUUUCCGGAUCGUGUUCAAAGUCUAUUACGUGAGUUUGGGCACCAAAAAAAAAUACGUGUCCGUUAUUUUAGACUACUCUAUAACAUAUAUAAAUAUAAAUCAAAUCGGAACCAGACAGUUUGGUACCUUUCCUUUACCCCUAGUGUAAAUAAAUUCGAUUUCGAAACGUGACGUACGCGUUUGCGUUUAGUCUCAUUUUGUAUUGGAUUUAGAAAGAGCGCGCCAAGCGGGACGUUUUGGAAACUCAAAAUCCUAUACAAAAUGAGACUUAACGCAAACGCGUUCGUCACGUUAUGAUGUCGAUCAAAUUUACACUAGGGGUACAGGUCAGUUCUUCAAUGGAAUUCCGCUUGGCGCCCGUAGAAUGAAAUGAAGUAGAUUUAAAUACUUAUUUAAUAGCCCAACUCCCAUGUUUCAUGGUUUUGGGUUAAUUUUGACGCAUGUCCCUUUUUCGUUCGAUAGUAGUCAUUUUAAAAUUGUUACUGUGUAUAAUAAUCUGUCGUAUUUAUUUGUCAGACGACACACCAGCGCCGCCGGGCCCGUCCGGUUUUAGAGUGCCACGCUCGCCGCCCUCUGAAAGCAGUGAGUAUAUUUACACUAGGGGUACAGGUCAGUUCUUCAAUGGAAUUCCGCUUGGCGCCCGUAGAAUGAAAUGAAGUAGAUUUAAAUACUUAUUUAAUAGCCCAACUCCCAUGUUUCAUGGUUUUGGGUUAAUUUUGACGCAUGUCCCUUUUUCGUUCGAUAGUAGUCAUUUUAAAAUUGUUACUGUGUAUAAUAAUCUGUCGUAUUUAUUUGUCAGACGACACACCAGCGCCGCCGGGCCCGUCCGGUUUUAGAGUGCCACGCCCGCCGCCCUCUGAAAGCAGUGAGUAUAUUUACACUAGGGGUACAGGUCAGUUCUUCAAUGGAAUUCCGCUUGGCGCCCGUAGAAUGAAAUGAAGUAGAUUUAAAUACUUAUUUAAUAGCCCAACUCCCAUGUUUCAUGGUUUUGGGUUAAUUUUGACGCAUGUUCCUUUUUCGUUCGAUAGUAGUCAUUUUAAAAUUGUUACUGUGUAUAAUAAUCUGUCGUAUUUAUUUGUCAGACGACACACCAGCGCCGCCGGGCCCGUCCGGUUUUAGAGUGCCACGCCCGCCGCCCUCUGAAAGCAGCUAUGUCCCGUCAGAACAGGAUUCUCUAGACUCGUUCAGGAUUUCAUUCACUCCCAUCAACUUUUUCGGUAUGUUCGAUCUCGUGUAUGUCCAGUUCUUGACUGUUAUUGACCAUCGGUACACUGUCUUCAACUUUAAGAGGAAAGGAGACUGCUUUUCCUUUACAAACCUAGUCCCCAUUUCCUCUCUGAAUAUUAACAUUACCUUAUAGGAAAUUGAUAUAUAUGAAUAAAUGAAACACACACGUCCGGUCACUUACAUAUUUAUUGCGAGACUAAUUGGCCUGCAGAGGGCGCACGCGAAUGCACCGCGAUGUGACAAAUACUAUUAGGUAAGUAAGUACAUACAUUACAUCACUCUCUUCUUAAAACA